AAGUGAAAGUAGUGUACUCAAUGUACAGGCCGGCAGGGUCUUGCAGUAUGUAAGUGACAUGCAUGUGUCAUUUUAUGAAGGGGUAUAAAUGAAAACUAUUUUCAUGGAACAGGAUUACAUGAAUGAGGACAUGUACAUUCUUUGGAAGCAGUCAGUCAACUUAUUCAAGUGUUCAUGGUGAUACAGGAAAACUUCAAGGUUCCUGCAGAUGGUGUUUAAAACUAUUGGCCAGUGAACACAAACCCAUUUAAUUAUAUUUUGAAUCUUCACCAGGAGAAAAAAGAUGGCAGUACUUCUAAUGCAAGCAGCUACUAGGGAAGAUUUAAUGAAGGAAGAUGAGGAAGUGGAGAAAAAGCU